rnacentral:lncRNA from 1 species
CAGCGCUGUCCCGUUGGAGGCCGGAGCCCAGCACCGAGGAUCCGAGGCACUCGCCAAGCCUGCCAGAGGUGCCUGGGAACUAUGGGUCGUGAGGAUUCUUGUCACCCCAUCCUUUCCACUCUGUGAAGCGUUUGCCGGAGGGCUCUUCGAAAUGUCACCUGCAGCAACCCAGUGUCAACUUCCCGCACUCAUCCCGCCAACUUCACCAGCAGGACUGGGCUGGCCUGAAAAGGGCAAGGCCACCCUCUCCCUUGUUGCUACACAGUGAGAAGCAGAGCUGUGGAAGAGCCAAGGAACUCUGAGGGUGGAGGCCUAAAGCAGAGGAGGAAAGAGCAGAGAGAAAGGGGGCUUCGGCCGGUGAGUAUGUCCUGUG